rnacentral:rRNA from 1 species
CUACGGGCUGCAGCAGUGAGGAAUAUUGCACAAUGGGGGGAACCCUGAUGCAGCAACGCCGCGUGGAGGAUGACGCAUUUCGGUGUGUAAACUCCUUUUAUAUGUCAAGAAAAUGACGGUAGCAUAUGAAUAAGCACCGGCUAACUCCGUGCCAGCAGCCGCGGUAAUACGGAGGGUGCAAGCGUUACUCGGAAUCACUGGGCGUAAAGGACGCGUAGGCGGGUUGGAAAGUCAGGUGUGAAAUCCUACAGCUUAACUGUAGAACUGCACUUGAAACUUCUAAUCUAGAGUAUGGGAGGGUGAGAUAGAAUUAGUGGUGUAGGGGUAAAAUCCGUAGAUAUCACUAGGAAUACCUAAAGCGAAGGCGAUCUCCUGGAACAUUACUGACGCUAAGGCGUGAAAGCGUGGGGAGCAAACAGGAUUAGAUACCCGCGUAGUC